AGUAAGUCUGGAAUUACAUAGGUUAGUACAGGAAGUAAAGUCUGGAAUUACAUAGGUUAGUACAGGAAGUAAAGUCUGGAAUUACGUAGGCUAGUACAGGAAGUAGUCUGGAAUUACAUAGGUUAGUACAGGAAGUAAGUCUGGAAUUACGUAGGCUAGUACAGGAAGUAGUCUGGAAUUACAUAGGUUAGUACAGGAAGUAAGUCUGGAAUUACGUAGGUUAGUACAGGAAGUAAAGUCUGGAAUUACAUAGGUUAGUACAGGAAGUAAAGUCUGGAAUUACGUAGGCUAGUACAGGAAGUAGUCUGGAAUUACAUAGGUUAGUACAGGAAGUAAGUCUGGAAUUACGUAGGUUAGUACAGGAAGUAAGUCUGGAAUUACGUAGGCUAGUACAGGAAGUAAAGUCUGGAAUUACGUAGGCUAGUACAGGAAGUAAGUCUGGAAUUACGUAGGCUAGUACAGGAAGUAAAGUCUGGAAUUACGUAGGCUAGUACAGGAAGUAAGUCUGGAAUUACGUAGGCUAGUACAGGAAGUAAGUCUGGAAUUACGUAGGCUAGUACAGGAAGUAAGUCUGGAAUUACGUAAGCUAGUACGUAGGUUAGUUUCAGCUGUUAAGAAUCAGUUCCUUCUUUUGGGAGUCUCUGUUGUGCGCUUUGAUUUUUGAAACCUUUUCAGACUUUUUACAUUCACAAACAGCUCUAUAGCACACUACAUGAAAGGUAGUAUUUGAAAAAAUAUUAUAGGUGCAACUUUAAGCAUUGAAAAACAUAUUUUUUUUCUCUGUGAAACAGGUGCACCAUGGUACACACUUUUUUGAUGUGUAAUAUCUCCAGUAUGCUUUUUUUGGUCAUCUCCUGCUAUAGUCCACUCCAUCCAUAACCUCCCUCUCUCACUCCCAAUCUUAUAUAUAAGUAUAUAUUACAACACCAGUGAUUCUGUACAUAUACACGGUCUGCACUUACACUUUCCUUUUGUUUCCUAUAUUGGCUUUAUAUUGCUGUGGUUUCAUCUCAGCACAGGUUUAGUGUGUAAAGCUCGACUAGGACCUAAAUUACACAAGGGCUGUUAAAUGAUUAUUUUAUGAGUAAGAAUAAGAGUUUUUUAAGCCAAUGUGGUCUUUGAAGACAAAAGAGUGUUGUGUUACCUCAGAGACGUUGGGCUGAGUACAUAACCAGCAUUCAGAAAAACAGUUUUGCACUGUUGGAAGUGGAUAUUUUUGUGAGAUUUAGAAGGUAAACUAGUGUAGUUUAAGACAGUUGCCUCCAAGGCUUUAAUUGUAAGUGAUGACUGGUGAGAGCAUCGGUGGUGGACAUUAAAUUUGACUUUAUAUCAUUGUAAAUGUGAGUAUCACAGUGCUGAACCAAGUCAUGUUGAUGUCUUAAUGGCAGCAUAUAUAGGUUGGGUCACAAGCUUGGUCCUAGGAUGACUACAGCCAUGAGAUUUAGGCUACGUCCACAUUAAUCCAGAUCAAUUUGAAAAUGCAUCCUUUUCUGUACGUUUUGGCCUUCUGUUCACACUGAGACUCAGUUUUGUACCAUGAA
ensembl:lncRNA